GAUGAACGCUGGCGGCGUGCCUAAUACAUGCAAGUCGAGCGAACGGACGAGAAGCUUGCUUCUCUGAUGUUAGCGGCGGACGGGUGAGUAACACGUGGAUAACCUACCUAUAAGACUGGGAUAACUUCGGGAAACCGGAGCUAAUACCGGAUAAUAUUUUGAACCGCAUGGUUCAAAAGUGAAAGACGGUCUUGCUGUCACUUAUAGAUGGAUCCGCGCUGCAUUAGCUAGUUGGUAAGGUAAAGGCUUACCAAGGCAACGAUGCAUAGCCGACCUGAGAGGGUGAUCGGCCACACUGGAACUGAGACACGGUCCAGACUCCUACGGGAGGCAGCAGUAGGGAAUCUUCCGCAAUGGGCGAAAGCCUGACGGAGCAACGCCGCGUGAGUGAUGAAGGUCUUCGGAUCGUAAAACUCUGUUAUUAGGGAAGAACAUAUGUGUAAGUAACUGUGCACAUCUUGACGGUACCUAAUCAGAAAGCCACGGCUAACUACGUG
rnacentral:rRNA from 1 species